GCCGACUUCCUCCUCGGCGUCGCCGUCGUGUACUGCAACAGCGGUGCGCUCAUCACGUCCACCACGACCGGCGUCCCGCAGGUCGUCUGGUCGGCCAACCGCGCCAGCCCCGUGGGCGAGGGCGCCGCCGCGGAGCUCACGGCCGAGGGCGACCUGGUACUCAGGUCCGCCAACGGCUCGGCGGUGUGGUUCGCCGGCACCAAGGGCCGGUCCGUCGCCGGGGUGACCAUCGGCAGCGACGGCAACCUCGUGCUGCUCGACGGGCGCAACGCCACCGUGUGGCAGUCGUUCGACCACCUCGCGGACGCGCUGCUCGUCGGGCAGUCGCUCAAGCACGGCGCGCGGCUCACCGCCAACACGUCAACGGCUGACUUGCGCGACGGCAGGCUCUACCUCGCCGUCGAGGACGACGCCCUGAGCGCAUACAUCAAUGCCACGCCGCCUCAGCGCUACUACCACCUCGGCUUCGGCGAGACCGCGGCCGGCGCCUACGCGACGUACACCAACGGCAGCCUCACUGUGUCCGCCCGGCCCGGAGCGCCAGCCCUGGCCACCAUCCAGCUGCCCACCGUCGGCACCGGCACGGUGCAGUACAUGAGGCUGGAGCACGACGGCCACCUUCGGCUCUACGAGUGGCGCUCCGGCUCGGGCUGGGCGCCGGUGUUCGACGUGCUGCGCCUCUUCCCGGACGGCGGGUGCGCGUACCCAACCGUCUGCGGCGCGUACGGCGUGUGCACGGACGACACGCAGUGCAGCUGCCCCGACGCGGCCAACUUCCGGAGGCCCAACCGCGGCUGCGUCCCGACGAAUCCACCGCCGACGUCAUGCGGCUCAUCAUCGCCGGGGCGGCGCGCGCAGCACCGGCUGGUGUCGCUGCCGGGCACGGGCUACUUCAACGACCAUGCAACGAGCCUGCACGCCGUGGAGAGGGUGAGCGAAGAGGCGUGCCUGGACGACUGCGCGUGCGCCGCGGCGCAGUUCUACUACGGCCCGGACGCCGGCGACGGGUUCUGCUACCUGCAGUCGGAGGUGUUGUCGCUGCAGACGGUACGGCCGGAGGAGGUGCACUACAACUCCACCAUGCAUAUCAAGGUGCAGGCCAAGUCAGGCAGGAUCUGA
rnacentral:rRNA from 1 species